rnacentral:tRNA from 1 species
GGGCGGUUAGCUCAGCGGUGGAGCGUCGGCUUUACACGCCGCAGGUCGCAGGUUCGAAUCCUGCACCGCCCACCA